AUUUGUGUUCCGGCGAAUUUCACAUCAUCUGUUGGAAGAAGAGGGCAGAAAUGGCUGAUACCAUAGCUGACACCAGAAGGCUUUACACUAAGCCACAAAACUUAAAUGACGCUUACGGGCCACCCAGUAAUUUUCUAGAGAUUGACGUAAGCAAUCCUCAGACCAUCGGUGUCGGUAGAGGCAAAUAUACCACGUAUGAAGUCAGACUGAAGACCAACCUACCCAUCUUUAAGCUGAAGGAGUCCAGUGUUCGAAGGCGGUACAGUGAUUUUGAGUGGCUCAGAGCGGAGCUGGAGCGAGAGAGCAAGGUGGUCGUCCCUCCGCUGCCAGGAAAAGCUCUCAUCCGACAGCUUCCGUUCCGAGGGGGCGACGGGAUUUUUGAAGACUCUUUUAUUGAGGAGCGAAGACAGGGUCUGGAGCAGUUUCUCAACAAAUCUGGAGAUUUAGCAUCUUCACAGCCUUAUACGACUUCUACCUGAUGUUUCUCUGAGGAUGGUGUUCCAUGGGUCAUCGGCCUCUCCCUUCAAUCAGAGGCAACUCCACUGUGGACGGAAACCACUUAAAUACAGACAUCGUCUUCAAAUAAGAGAAGAAGAUGAGGAGUGAUGAAAGCAGCUGGGAGACAUUGGCUCUUUUAGAAACACCCAAACAAUGACCAGGGCAGAGAGGUACUUGUUUUUUUUUCUUCUCAUAUUCACCACAUUUUCUCCAUCGUCUGCCCCACCACCCAUCGGCUCAGCACUUUCCCAUCCUCAAAUUCCCUCAAAGUUUCAGAUGCUCACCACUCCACAAUGCCCAGAUGCUGUCCUUUAGCCCUUCACCCCCCCUCCAACCUGGAGCUAUCAUUCAUAACCUUUCUGUGGAGCAGGGAGUGAAAGAGGUGGGAUAAGGGAGAAAAGGGGGGAGCGGAGAGCAACAUGGCAGCUUAUUUAGAAGACUUCCUUUAUUGGAACAUGUGCAAGCAGUUCACUCACAAAGGACUUAAAUAGGAUAUUUUCUGUUCCCUAUAGUUGCUUUCCCCUUUUAAGUGCCGAGGCAAAAAAAGUAAGUUUACAACUCCCUCCUCAAUGGGGGCUCUUCACUCUCAGGUUGCGGGGACCUGAGUGACCUAGGAAAGUUAAUUAGGAGGCGAACAAAGAGCGAGCUGGAGCAGAAUGCCUCGCCUCUCCUCCAGCCAAAGAUGUCAUCCAUUAAUUAGGAAAAUCUUUAAGGUGGCCUUAUUGAAUUUACAGAAAGCCCUGUGGUUGGCGGGCAACAGUUUUUUGAUCAAGUCCUGACUCAAACAAUAGCUUUCUGGGGGUUAAAAAAGAAGAAGAAGGGAGGAGAUUGGUGGUAGACGGAGAGGGAGAAGAGAAAGAAACGUAUGGAGUUCGCGGCGCAGUACAGUUUAAUGGGAGGGGCGGGGGUGCUGGUGGCUGCCGAUUGUGACAGCUCAGAUUCACAUGGGUAUGGGGGGCAUAGUUUGGGGAUGAUGUCAUGCAAAGGCAACCUGGGGGCUUGGGAAGUAAGGAGAAGGAGGGGGGUGUGCUGAGCUUGAGCCACAGGGGCCACUCAAAGUUAACAUCGCUGCCUGCAACUGGGCCAACUCCUUUUCUUUCCUGAACGCCAAGCCCUCCACCACUCCUCUUUCCCCUUCGUUCACAAAUCACAGCCUGCUUUACAGCUAGAACCUCUCACUAACUGACCAGCUAACUGCCUUUUAUUGACCGACCAACUGUCUACUCACCUCUGGGGCACUAUGAAUAUAAAAGUGAAGCGUUGAUAGAGCUGUUUAUUUUGAAUCCUAGUGAUACUGUGCUGUAAAAUCCUGACAACAGUGUAAACCAUAUGUCACUCAUAAAAUCUUAAAUGUGAAAAAAAAAAUCAAUUGAAUGUUUGAGAUAAGAAGCCAAAAUGAUUCGAUGGAGAAUGUUCUGGUGAAUUAUACCACCACAUGUCAUGAGUUAGAAACAAAAACUACAAGAUGCAAUAAAGAUAAUGGAGAAUUGUCAUAUGGAUAAAAGGUCAAAUUAAGAGAUAAAAGUAAAAAAAAAUCAAAUGUGGUCUUUGUUAUACGUCCUUUUGAUUGUAGGGCAGAAAAUACGUUAAUUUUGAAAACAAAAAGUGUCUCAGCAAUGAUGUACAAAUGAUAGUUUAAUCAGACUUUCUUUACAUACAAACACACUUAAUUCACCAAAGUCCAAAGAAACCACACACACACACACACACACACACACGUAAAGGCAAGCCUCUGCUGCAUGUUCAUGCCCUGUGCUGUCAGACUCCUCUGACCAUGCGUCUACUAGGGCAUGAACCCCACGUCCCCCCCGAGGGGGAGAGGAGUGGGGACUAAUUUGAGGGGAGGGGCGACGUGUUUAGUUGCUUGUCAGAAACAAUCGCUCCUGGCCCAUUACAUUACAGCACGUCAUGCUUUCACUGCUGUAACACGCUGAGCUGUGAGAAGGGGGGACACAACAGGGUUGGGGGUGGAGGGGAGGGGAGGGGGAGGAGGUGUUGGGCUCAAGACGACUGUGGAGUGAAAGUUUAAAAUAAGGCAAAGAAAUAAAAUUAAAGGCAAAUAGUUUCUAAGAGUGAAAAAAAGAUAAAGGUAAAAAGUGUGAAACAAAAAGUGUUGUUGAAAAGAGCAAAACUAAACGUCUAAAAAGUCAAGAAGACAAAAAGGGACAAAAUCUGACAAAAGCAAGAUGUUAAAAAGGAGGGAGGAGUUGGCAAAUGAAAAUCUGCUGAAGAAUCUAAGGUAGAUAAAAAAGGAACUGAUCAAAUGUAGCAGCUGUAAUGGUUUGGUAAAGAGGUGAGGCUAAAGUGAAUAACAACUUUAUUUAGGCUGUGUGGGCCUCAGCCCAGCCCUCCCUUGUUCUGUGUACCAGCCCACCCGUCCUCCCUCUGUUCUGUUUGGGCACUGGAGGUUGUCAGACUGGGUUUAUGUGCAGUUCAGUGGAGCUGAAAGAAGUCACUUUCGUGUCUUGUUAUGGAACAAGAUGUCUUUGCCUCUCAGGAGUGAUGAGAAGUGUUCUGGGUGAGCAGGGCGAGCAGGGAGUGGGACCAUCCCCUGGAGGCGACCAGCAGUGAGGAAGUCAAAGCGGCUUUUGUGUAGCUGCUGGUGGGUUCGUGUUUGGUAAUUAUCCUCCCUCUAAGUGAGAGCAGGACCAGGCCUUUCCACCGUAGACCAACACCACACACGAGUGUACGAGAAUGUACGACACAGUGUCGUCAACAAAGAUUUGUUCCUAAGAUGAAGCUGAGAUGAGAGUGUCUGCUCUGUGGUGUGACAGUGAAUGAACAGAUCUGAAUCAAUCAGACUGUAUCCUUAAAAUAUAAAUCUAAUUUGUUAGUGUAUCUUAGUACUAGUUGCUAGUAUUACUACUAAUCUUAGUUAGUUAGUAAUACUUUUCCCCGUCAAUGUGCUUAUUCCAAAUACUCACAGUAAAUUUUUACAAAGGGCCACAGAAAUACAAACUACUUGCACAGAACAUUUUUAAAUUCUUCCUCUUCAUCAUCAGUUCCAACACUACCAUUACAGCAUCACUGUCGUCAUCACCUCAGCUUCCAAACUCUCUUCAACGUCCCUCUGAUCCUACACCUUAUAAUCAUUGUCAUCACGUUCUCCAUCAUCAUCACCUCAGUCUGAUUCAACUUACCAUCACUGGCCAUCAUCCUGCCUUUGGCGUCUCCAUCGCUGGUCAACCAACCUCACUGGACUAGACCUCAAAUCUGAAAUUAUCAUCUAUUUCCCGCUCAGCUGAUUUUUUUCCCAUUAACAGCUCUUGAUUUAAACCUGCUUCAGAUGUGUUCUUUUCAAAGACACAGAAUAGGCCUGCCUUGAUCUGCACCAAUUGUCAUACCACGGCUGAGGGGCACUUCUGCGGCCGGUAUAGCGGGCAAAGUCAGGGCUAAUCCCCGAAGAAGAGGAGAAUCACGGGAGAGGAGAGAAGCAACAAUAACCAAGUCAAGCGUAUAAAAUGAAAGCGAAAUCUCUAUUAUCACUCCCUGCAAUUCCCAGCAAAGUUGUGAAAAUCAGGGUUAGUUUGUGAUUCGAGUCAGACGCAGAGGGGUGAAUAUGGGGGUCCCUGCUGGCUGGGAGACUCACACGACGAAAAGGGCAAUAUUAGGCAGAAAGGGGGAAGAAGAAAGACCCUCUCCCAUCCCGACAUAACCAUUAAAUGCAGUCUGACUUUAUGUUGUAUAGAGCGAGGGAAACAAGAAAGGAGGCACAGUUCUCCGAUGAAAGAAUGAGGUUUUUGGCGGAUUAGGGACGGACCGAAGGAUGAAGAAUAACUUCUGCAUAACUCUACAGCUACUUUCUCUCCCCACGCCAAGAGCCAAGUUUAAGGCUGAGCUAUGUUUGAGUAGUUAACCCCUUUGUGAUUGUCCAAACUGUGCCUCUCACAAGGAGGGAACUAACAGGACUACCACACUGCAGCACUCCAUAUUAGGUAAAAAUAUUAAAACAGACUAACACGGUUUGAUACAACAACAAAGGCAAUAACAGCUAAAGAUUUGUAUAGCUAUAAAUAUUUAUAAAGGGUAAAUGUUUUACAUUUAAGAAAAAUGUAAUAGAUUUAGAGAACAGCAAUUGACAAUUAAUAAUUCAGUGCUUUUAAAAAACAGAGUCUAAAAAAAGUAUAAUCAAUAUAAUGUUGAUAAUAAUCCAAGCAAUGACAUGUUUUCUGAUUUUUUUAAAGCUACCCCUGCUGAGAGUUGGAUGAUUGUUAUUAUUUUACUCCCAUUAGAGAAAUAACAAAGGCCUGGGGAACAUCUGAACAAUUAAGUGAACUUUGGUCAGGCCAAGAAGAGUUAAUGAGCUGCCGGUGCUGUGUAUGAAGAGAGAGGAGCAUCAAGGGCCAGAAUCCAUCUGUAGGCUGCAGCUCUCACAGAUAUGAGAAUAGGCUGCUAAUGCUGCACACUUUCUCCCCCCUCAUUUUCAUUAGGCACUGAUGACUGCGUAAUUCAUGCGCCCUGCAAGUUAUCAAGAGCCACUAAUUUCACAUUAACGGCCAUUGACUGUCGUUGCCUGAUUUGAGGGGUUUUUUGACAAUAUUCACAAUCAGGAUCGGUGCCCAGAUCAUUUACCUGACUCUGUGAUUUUUGCUCUGAGAGAGAACACAAAAUGGGAAACAUCCUACUGAUAAUAAUGACAAGACCACAUGGGAUAUAUAAUAAAAUA